rnacentral:lncRNA from 1 species
AAUACACAAAUGUUCAUAGCAUAUAUGACAUAGGUAAUGCGGUUGAAAUUAGUUAAGUACUUAAUACAUAACAUGAACAACUCCUACAUUUAAUUAUAGAUAUGACAGAACCGUCGGAGAUUCCUCGUAUGCCACAGAGAGUUCAGCUACCUAAGACCUGGUGAGGCGAAAAACAGAAGGGUGAGUGGACAAAAACAAAGGAUUAUAAAACACAUUUAUUUUCUUAACAUACUAACCCCUCGUUGUAAAACAUGUAUAGUUUCCAGAAAAUCAUACUUUAUAUGCAAAUCAACAAUAAUUCCAUAAAUAUGCCAAUCACAAUAUCACAACAAUAGCAUAAUAAAUCAGAUGCUCCUCGAUCUAUGCUAACACAAAAGUCGGAGUCGUUUAAUGUAACAUGUACGAUUGAACUGAUGCUCAUCAAUCUAUGCUAGCACACAAGUCGGAGUUGCCUACUACAACCUGUAUGACAUGACUGAGUGUCAUCAUAAUAUACGCUAAUACUACAAUCACGUGAAGACUAGUGCUAUUUGCGAUCACAUACGAGUCGGAGUUGCCUAUUGCAACUUGUACGACAUGAAUGGCACCUACUUGGAUCCAAGGCGAGUGUGUGAUGCGAAAUAUAUAAGCACACAAAUUAAACCCUCUUUUUAUCAAUUGUAGUAAAGUAUGUAAGUAGGGAUCG